rnacentral:rRNA from 1 species
GGGUGCAGGAAGGUUACGAGUUAAUAGCUGCUAGACAUGACGUUAGCUGCAGAAGAAGCACCGGCUAACUCCGUGCCAGCAGCCGCGGUAAUACGGAGGGUGCGAGCGUUAAUCGGAAUUACUGGGCGUAAAGCGCAUGCAGGCGGUUUGUUAAGCAAGAUGUGAAAGCCCCGGGCUCAACCUGGGAAGGUCAUUUUGAACUGGCAGACUAGAGUCUUGUAGAGGGGAGUAGAAUUUCAGGUGUAGCGGUGAAAUGCGUAGAGAUCUGAAGGAAUACCGGUGGCGAAGGCGGCCCCCUGGACAAAGACUGACGCUCAUAUGCGAAAGCGUGGGGAGCAAACAGGAUUAGAUACCCUGGUAGUCCACGCUGUAAACGAUGUCUACUUGGAGGUUGUGACCUUGAGACGUGGCUUUCGGAGCUAACGCGUUAAGUAGACCGCCUGGGGAGUACGGUCGCAAGAUUAAAACUCAAAUGAAUUGACGGGCC